rnacentral:rRNA from 1 species
GACGAACGCUGGUAGCGUGCUUAACACAUGCAAGUCGAACGAUGAACCCGGAGCUUGCUCCGGCGGAUUAGUGGCGAACGGGUGAGUAACACGUGAGUAACCUGCCCUUGACUCUGGGAUAACUGCUAGAAAUGGUAGCUAAUACCGGAUACGACCCUCGGCGGCAUCGCCAGGGGGUGGAAAGAAUUUCGGUCAAGGAUGGACUCGCGGCCUAUCAGCUAGUGGGUGAGGUAACGGCUCACCAAGGCGACGACGGGUAGCCGGCCUGAGAGGGUGACCGGCCACACUGGGACUGAGACACGGCCCAGACUCCUACGGGAGGCAGCAGUGGGGAAUAUUGCUCAAUGGGCGCAAGCCUGAUGCAGCAACGCCGCGUGAGGGAUGACGGCCUUCGGGUUGUAAACCUCUUUUAGUAGGGAAGAAGCGAAAGUGACGGUACCUGCAGAAAAAGCACCGGCUAACUACGUGCCAGCCGCCGCUGUAA